GACGAACGCUGGCGGCGUGCCUAAUACAUGCAAGUAGAACGCUGAAGGAGGAGCUUGCUUCUCUGGAUGAGUUGCGAACGGGUGAGUAACGCGUGGGUAACCUGCCUGGUAGCGGGGGAUAACUAUUGGAAACGAUAGCUAAUACCGCAUAAUAUUGACUAUUGCAUGAUAGUCAGUUGAAAGGUGCAACUGCACCACUACCAGAUGGACCUGCGUUGUAUUAGCUAGUUGGUGGGGUAACGGCUCACCAAGGCGACGAUACAUAGCCGACCUGAGAGGGUGGUCGGCCACACUGGGACUGAGACACGGCCCAGACUCCUACGGGAGGCAGCAGUAGGGAAUCUUCGGCAAUGGACGGAAGUCUGACCGAGCAACGCCGCGUGAGUGAAGAAGGUUUUCGGAUCGUAAAGCUCUGUUGUAAGAGAAGAACGAGUGUGAGAGUGGAAAGCUCACACUGUGACGGUAUCUUACCAGAAAGGGACGGCUAACUACGUG
rnacentral:rRNA from 1 species